GAGUUUGAUCAUGGCUCAGGACGAACGCUGGCGGCGUGCCUAAUACAUGCAAGUCGAGCGAGGGUUUUCGGACCCUAGCGGCGGACGGGUGAGUAACACGUAGGCAACCUACCUCUCAGACCGGGAUAACAUAGGGAAACUUAUGGCUAAUACCGGAUAGGUUUUUGGACUGCAUGAUCCGAAAGAAAAGAUGGCUUUUGGCUAUCACUGGGAGAUGGGCCUGCGGCGCAUUAGCUAGUUGGU
rnacentral:rRNA from 1 species